rnacentral:rRNA from 1 species
CGGUAAUACGUAGGGUGCAAGCGUUAUCCGGAAUUAUUGGGCGUAAAGGGCUCGUAGGCGGUUCGUCGCGUCCGGUGUGAAAGUCCAUCGCUUAACGGUGGAUCUGCGCCGGGUACGGGCGGGCUGGAGUGCGGUAGGGGAGACUGGAAUUCCCGGUGUAACGGUGGAAUGUGUAGAUAUCGGGAAGAACACCAAUGGCGAAGGCAGGUCUCUGGGCCGUUACUGACGCUGAGGAGCGAAAGCGUGGGGAGCGAACAGGAUUAGAUACCCUGGUAGUCCACGCCGUAAACGGUGGAUGCUGGAUGUGGGGCCCGUUCCACGGGUUCCGUGUCGGAGCUAACGCGUUAAGCAUCCCGCCUGGGGAGUACGGCCGCAAGGCUAAAACUCAAAGAAAUUGACGGGGGCCCGCACAAGCGGUGGAGCAUGUGGUUUAAUUCGAUGCAACGCGAAGAACCUUACCUGGGCUUGACAUGUUCCCGACAGCCGUAGAGAUAUGGCCUCCCUUCGGGGCGGGUUCACAGGUGGUGCAUGGUCGUCGUCAGCUCGUGUCGUGAGAUGUUGGGUUAAGUCCCGCAACGAGCGCAACCCUCGCCCUGUGUUGCCAGCACGUCAUGGUGGGAACUCACGGGGGACCGCCGGGGUCAACUCGGAGGAAGGUGGGGAUGACGUCAGAUCAUCAUGCCCCUUACGUCCAGGGCUUCACGCAUGCUACAAUGGCCGGUACAACGGGAUGCGACACGGCGACGUGGAGCGGAUCCCUGAAAACCGGUCUCAGUUCGGAUUGGAGUCUGCAACCCGACUCCAUGAAGGCGGAGUCGCUAGUAAUCGCGGAUCAGCAACGCCGCGGUGAAUGCGUUCCCGGGCCUUGUACACACCGCCCGUCAAGUCAUGAAAGUGGGUAGCACCCGAAGCCGGUGGCCUAACCCUUUGUGGAUGGAGCCGUCUAAGGUGAGACUCGUGAUUGGGACUAAGUCGUAACAAGGUAGCCGUACCGGAAGGUGCGGCUG